CGUUUAUUGCAUCAUUAUUACAAUCAUCGUGGGUAUAUGGACAUUCUGCAGAAAUUGAAGGCGUUGCUCAUCAGCCAACGGGAAGCAGCAGUCUUCAGAACGCUACACAAUCACCUAACAACGAAAACAGGAGCAACUCACAAGUGAGAACAGAUCAGGGAUAUAUAUUUCCCGUUUUAAUCGUACUGUUUGGAGCUAGCCUGCCGACACUUAUUGCCUGCUAUUACUGGUGGAGAAAGCCACGCUCACAUUAUGAUCUACUCUGUCGGAGAUGCUCUGGCGCAGGUCGAAGGGAAAAGGUCCAAGUACUACCGCUCAGUCGCCUCGUGUCAGACUUGUAAUUCACUCAGUUGAAAUUACAUCAAGUAAAAAGCGAAUUGUAACUCUUUACAAUACUUUUUUGUGUAAUUAUAUACAGUGGCGUAUUGUGGGUCACGGCAUGGGGGGGGGGGCACGAAAAUAGACU